rnacentral:lncRNA from 1 species
UUUGACUCUUCCAAGAGAUCUUUCGUAGAAAAUAUUAUGAGAUAUGAUUGAUGUAAUAUUUAUGUUGAACUUGCCUCUUAACCAACUUGCCAGUCUAGUUUUCAGAUGUCAGACCUAGACUAUAGGCAGUCACUUUUAAAAAUCAUUAAAUGCUCUUUGAAACUAGGAUUGUAGAAGUGACAUCUAGGAUUGACUCGUCACAUGUUAAGAUGAGAACAAAAGUUUUCAUCUAACAAAUGUAAAAUCUC